UACGGAGGGUGCAAGCGUUAUCCGGAUUCACUGGGUUUAAAGGGUGCGUAGGUGGGUUGGUAAGUCAGUGGUGAAAUCUCCGUGCUUAACAUGGAACUGCCAUUGAUACUACUGAUCUUGAAUUUUCUGGAGGUAAGCGGAAUAUGUCAUGUAGCGGUGAAAUGCUUAGAUAUGACAUAGAACACCAAUUGCGAAGGCAGCUUACUACAGGGACAUUGACACUGAGGCACGAAAGCGUGGGGAUCAAACAGG
rnacentral:rRNA from 1 species